rnacentral:tRNA from 1 species
UGUGCCCUAGUUUAACAACAGAACAUUGGACUUGCACUUCAAAAGUAAGGGUCUAUUCCCUUGGUCGCAU